CUGCCUUACAAGCAGGGGGUCGGCGGUUCGAUCCCGUCAUCCUCCACCA
rnacentral:tRNA from 1 species